rnacentral:rRNA from 1 species
UACGUAGGGUGCGAGCGUUAAUCGGAAUUACUGGGCGUAAAGCGUGCGCAGGCGGUUUUGUAAGUCAGAUGUGAAAUCCCCGGGCUUAACCUGGGAACUGCGUUUGAAACUACAAGGCUAGAGUGUGGCAGAGGGGGGUGGAAUUCCACGUGUAGCAGUGAAAUGCGUAGAUAUCAGGAGGAACACCGAUGGCGAAGGCAGGUCUCUGGGCUGACACUGACGCUCAUGCACGAAAGCGUGGGGAGCAAACAGG